AGCUGCUGGAGCUAACUGAAAACUACACACCACAGGUAUCUGAAUACAAGGAGGGAAAGAUCGUGAGCUUUGACCCAAUCAACAGACAGAUUGAACUUGAACUCCUUAAUGUCUCUCAAGCUUCCGUAGAACCUGGAAAAUUUGAUCUAGUCUAUCAAAAUCCAGAUGGCUCCGAGAGGGUGGAGUAUGCUGUGUCCAGAGGGUCUUGGGUGACAGAACGGUGGGAGUCUCUGCUGGAGCCAAGACUCAUCAUUUAAGUUUGAGAAAAAGUUAAAUAGUUAUUUUUUUAAUGACCUGGACUUAUCUUUUAAAAGCUAAAACAUCCAAUGGUUUUGAUUCUGGUCCAUUUAAACUUUCUUAUCUGUGCUUCUCUGUUAGCACAUUUUUAACAGUUCUGUUUAAACUGGGUUUAGAGAUGAAAUGGUUUUUAUGCUUAAAUCAGCUGAAGGGAUGAGUAAUGAUUUUAAGCACUGGGGCACACUGUAAUGGUUUUAUUUUUUGUACAGAGAUGUGACUGUGAUAAGUCUUGUAUAAACUGUUUUUCCAAUAAAAAACUGCAUCCUCAGCCACACAUGAGGGCAAAAUUUUAGCGUGUU